rnacentral:rRNA from 1 species
CCUACGGGGGGCUGCAGUGGGGAAUAUUGGACAAUGGGCGGAAGCCUGAUCCAGCAAUACCGCGUGUGUGAAGAAGGCCUGAGGGUUGUAAAGCACUUUCAAUAGGAAGGAAUACCUAUCCAUUAAUACUGGGUAGACUGACAUUACCUAUACAAGAAGCACCGGCUAACUCCGUGCCAGCAGCCGCGGUACUACGGAGGGUGCAAGCGUUAAUCGGAAUUACUGGGCGUAGAGCGUGCGUAGCCGGCUCGAAAGGCCCGGGCUUAACCUGGGAAUGGCAUUUGAGACUGGCGAGCUAGAGUUGAGUAGAGGGGAGUGGAAUUUCAGGUGUAGCGGUGAAAUGCGUAGAGAUCUGAAGGAACACCAGUGGCGAAGGCGACUCCCUGGACUCAAACUGACGCUGAGGUACGAAAGCGUGGGUAGCAAACAGGAUUAGAUACCCGGGUAGUC